AUUAACUUCAGUUGAAGACGUUAACAGUGAAGAGGGUUCGGGUAUUAACGCAUUGAAGACUAACGUUGGCUUUAAGUGUUCAGCCUAGGGAGACAAGCGUGUGUUAUAAUCAACAAAUGGCAAAUAAUCUUGUGUUAUAUGAACAUUGCUUCCAACAUUCUUUACGAAUUAACCUGCAGUCAAGUUCUGGGCGAAUUUGGUGGUUGCUGAUGAAUUGAAGAUGCUGGGCACAGACAGACAGUGAGGAGGUUGCUUUAAGUGUUGUUGACAAAUAAAUACAAGGCGUUGGUGAAGCCAUCUCCUAUUGAAGGCUCUUUUAUCUCGGAAUAGUGACCGGUGGUCAAGGUGACCCUUCUAUAUACGAGAUGACCUCGAAGAGUGACCUGACCUUGCUAGGUGACCUAAGUGAGAAGAAAAUUCUCGAGGUUUUGAGACAAAGAUACAAAAACGACGUUAUAUACACUCGGUGUGGAGAUGUUCUUCUGUCUAUCAAUCCCUUCAAAGAGCUGCCCAUAUAUGAUAAAAAG